UAAGAUCAAAAUGUAACUGAGCUGUCAUAAGCCCAAGGGACACCUAAGACCAACCAUAAGGCGAUCUUAACACCUAGUGAUCUAUUAAACCCCACGAAAGCUAUGACCCAAACUGGGAUUAGAUACCCCACUAUGCUUAGCCCUAAAUCAUAGUGCUUACCCUACUAAAGCAUUCGCCUGAGAACUACGAGCGCAAACGCUUAAAACUCUAAGGACUUGGCGGUGCCCCAAACCCACCUAGAGGAGCCUGUUCUAUAAUCGAUACUCCACGAUACACCCGACCUCUCCUAGCCAAGGCAGCCUACAUACCGCCGUCGCCAGCUCACCUCCCUUGAAAGUGCAAUAGUGAGCACAAUAGCUCAAGCUCGCUAAUAAGACAGGUCAAGGUAUAGCCCAUGGAGUGGAAGAAAUGGGCUACAUUUUCUAAUAUAGAAUACUUACGGAAGGGGGUGUGAAAUCACCCCCAGAAGGCGGAUUUAGCAGUAAAGCAGGACAAUAAAGCUUGCUUUAAGUCGGCCCUGGGGCACGUACAUACCGCCCGUCACCCUCC
rnacentral:rRNA from 1 species